GGUCAGGGUCAAGGGGAAGGCAAUGGAAACUGAAGAUCUCAACACUGCUUUUAAGAAGCAUAUUUUCCAACUGAGAAACUAGAAGUGACGCCAGAGAAGCUGAUUAAGGAUGAAAAUCCUCAGGAAUGCCGCCUUUGAAGAUGAUACAGGGAGUACUCAGAGAACCUCAUGAAAACCGUGCUUUUUUUCUGAAGAAAUAUGUUUUCACACAUGCACAUAAAAUCUGGCAUACAACUUCAGGGUGUUCACAACUCCUGGAGAAACUGAGUUAGAGGAAAAGCUUACACACAAAUUAUUUAGAUUUCCAGUCAAGGUUGAGUGCUGUUUCAGGAGUCAAGCUAUCCUUGCCAAAUGCUACGUUUCCAUUCAAUGACUUUCUUGGUAAAAAGCCGGAACUGGAGCC